rnacentral:rRNA from 1 species
GAUGAACGCUGGCGGCGUGCCAAAUACAUGCAAGUCGAACGCUGGCAUCCUAGCUUGCGGGAUUGAAGGAGUUGCGAACGGGUGAGUAAUACAUAAGCAACCUAUCAACGAAGACUGGGAUAAUCUAUGGAAACGGGGACUAAUACCGGAAAGGUAAUCGGAAGGCCUCUUCUGCUUAUUAAAGGUUACAAACUCUGGUGGAUAGGCUUAUGGGCCAUUAGUUGGCGGGUGGGGUCACGGCCCAUCAAGACGAUGAUUCGUAGCCGGCCUGGGCGGGUGAAAGGCCACAUGGGAACUGGGACACGGCCCAGACGACUACGGGAGGCAGCAGUAGGGAACGUGAGGCAGUGGGGGAAACCCUGACCGAGCGACGCCGCGUGAGUGAUGGCGGUCUUCGGGUUGUAAAGCUCUGUUGUAAGGGAAGAACGGUAGAUAGAGAAUAUCUAAAUGACAGUACCUUAACAGAAAGCCACGGCUAACUACGUG